AUGGCAACAAGCUGCACGUGCUCUGUAUGUGGUAUGCCGGACUCAUGGAGGCAUAGUUUGCUGGAGUGCUCAGUAGCUCGAUGUGUAUGGUCGUUGGUCGAUCACGAGUUAACUGAUGAACUGUUGGCCAACACUGAACAAAAUGCUAAGAGAUGGUUGUUCUCUAUGAUCGAGCAGCUCCCCCAUGAAAAAUUCAUUAAGCUAACUGACACCCUUUGGGCUAUAUGGUGGGCACGGCGAAAGCUAAUCCACUCGAGAACCAGGUCAAAUGGAACUCAGAGAAGAUGGAUACCUACUGCAGAAGGCUAUGGUAAGAUCAAUGUCGACGCUGCCGUCUCACAGGGUAUCGGCGCUGUGGCAGGUGUAUGCAGAAAUAAUAGAGGAGGAUACUUGGGGUCCUCAGUGUUCGUCAUUCGCGGACUGACGGACCCUCCAACUCUAGAAGCUAUCGCAUGUAGAGAGGGUCUUUCCCUUGCGGAAGAUCUGGGACUGCAGAACCUGAUGAUUGCAUCAGAUUGCGAAACAGUGGUGAAGCAUAUUAAGGAGAGAACAGGAGGGAACUACGGUGGAGUUGUGAAGGAGAUUACAUCCUGCCAAACUAUUUUCAAUUCAUGUAUUUUUAAGUUCGAAUCUAGGAGCUCUAAUGUUGAGCCACACAAAUUAGCUAGGUAUGCUAUUACAUUAGAUCAAGGCCGCCACUUAUGGCUAGGGCUUCCACAUAAUACUAAUGUAAUACCGGUUGAUAUACGAACUCAUGAAUAA
rnacentral:rRNA from 1 species